rnacentral:rRNA from 1 species
GUGAGGAAUUUUCCGCAAUGGGCGAAAGCCUGACGGAGCAAUGCCGCGUGAAGGAUGAAGGCCUAUGGGUUGUAAACUUCUUUUCUCAGAAAAGAAUUAUGACGGUAUCUGAGGAAUAAGCAUCGGCUAACUCUGUGCCAGCAGCCGCGGUAAGACAGAGGAUGCAAGCGUUAUCCGGAAUGAUUGGGCGUAAAGCGUCUGUAGGUUGUUUAAAAAGUAUUCUGUCAAAGAUUAGGGCUUAAACCUAGAUAGGCAGAAUAAACUUUUAAGAUAGAGUUUGGUAGAGGCAGAGGGAAUUCCAGGUGGAGCAGUGAAAUGCGUAGAUAUCGGGAGGAACACCAAAGGCGAAGGCACUCUGCUGGGCCAAUACUAACACUGAGAGACGAAAGCGAGGGGAGCAAAUGGGAUUAGAAACCCGGGUAGUCC